UACGGAGGGUGCAAGCGUUAAUCGGAAUUACUGGGCGUAAAGCGCGCGUAGGCGGUCUAGUCAGUCAGAUGUGAAAGCCCCGGGCUCAACCUGGGAACUGCGUUUGAAACUACAAGACUAGAGUGUAGCAGAGGGGGGUGGAAUUCCACGUGUAGCAGUGAAAUGCGUAGAGAUGUGGAGGAACACCAAUGGCGAAGGCAGCCCCCUGGGUUAACACUGACGCUCAGGCACGAAAGCGUGGGGAGCAAACAGG
rnacentral:rRNA from 1 species